rnacentral:rRNA from 1 species
AUUGAACGCUGGCGGCAUGCCUUACACAUGCAAGUCGAACGGUAACAGGUCUUCGGAUGCUGACGAGUGGCGAACGGGUGAGUAAUACAUCGGAACGUGCCUAGUAGUGGGGGAUAACUACUCGAAAGAGUGGCUAAUACCGCAUGAGAUCUACGGAUGAAAGCAGGGGAUCGCAAGACCUUGUGCUACUAGAGCGGCCGAUGGCAGAUUAGGUAGUUGGUGGGAUAAAAGCUUACCAAGCCGACGAUCUGUAGAUGGUCUGAGAGGACGAUCAGACACAAUGGGACUGAGGCACGGCAAAGACGACUACGGGAGGAAGCAGUGGGGAAUUUUGGACAAUGGGAGCAAGCCUGAUCCAGCAAUGCCGCGUGUAGGAUGAAGGCCUUCGGGUUGUAAACUGCUUUUGUACGGAACGAAAAGCCCUGGGUUAAUACCCUGGGGUCAUGACGGUACCGUAAGAAUAAGCACCGGCUAACUACGUGCCAGCCGCCGCCGUAACAC